rnacentral:ncRNA from 2 species
CAUUCCGAGGAGCGUUGCAGUUCACAUCCCGUUGAACGAGGCUCGGACCCGUGGAAGGGCACCGCCCCCUCCACCGCAUCAACGGCGCUCACCCACG